rnacentral:rRNA from 1 species
AAUGAACGCUGGCGGCGUGCCUAACACAUGCAAGUCGGAUGUGCCCGCAAGGGUGCAUGGCAGACGGGUGAGUAACGCGUGGGGAAUCUACCUCUUUGUGGGGAAUAACGUUCCGAAAGGAAUGGUAAUACCGCAUGAGACCGCGAGCUGGGACGCUCGUGGUGAAACCUGGGGACCGCAAGGCCUGGGGCAAGGAGAGGAUCCUGGGUCUGAUUAGCUGGUUGGUGGGGUAACGGCCUACCAAGGCAACGAUCAGUAGCCGGCCGGAGAGGGUGAUCGGCCACAAUGGAACUGAGACACGGUCCAGUCUCCUACGGGAGGCAGUGGUGGGGAAUAUUGGACAAUGGGCGAAAGCCUGAUCCAGCCAUGCCGCGUGUGUGAAGAAGGUCUUCGGAUUGUAAAUCACUUUAAGUUGGGAGGAAGGGCAGUAAGCUAAUACCUUGCUGUUCUGACGUUACCGACAGAAUAAGCACCGGCUAACUCUGUGCCAGCAGCCGCCGUAAAAC